CCCUUAGAUGUCCGGGGCUGCACGCGCGCUACACUGAAGGAAUCAGCGUGCUAAAACCAUUGUCGAAAGGCAUUGGUAAACCCAUUAAAAUCCUACGUGAUUGGGAUCGGGAAUUGCAAUUAUUUCCCUUGAACGAGGAAUUCCCAGUAAGUGUGGGUCAUAAGCUCGCGUUGAUUACGUCCCUGCCCUUUGUACACACCGCCCGUCGCGGCCCGGGACUGAGCCGUUUCGAGAAAAGCGGGGACUGCUGCUGUCGGGGCUUUCGGGCCUUGGCUUCGGUGGAAACCGCUUUAAUCGCAGUGGCUUGAACCGGGCAAAAGUCGUANCA
rnacentral:rRNA from 1 species